GUGCUCGCUUCGACAGCACUUACGCUAAAACUGGAACGGUACAGAGAUUAGCAUUGGCCCCUUCGCAAGGAUGACACGCUAAUUCGUGAAGUGUUCCAUAUUUAA